ensembl:lncRNA
GGCAUGUAUAAUUAAUCCAAGAUGUACAUAUGUUUAUGUAGUGUCUGAGUUCUGCUUAGUGGUGAAAGGUUUGAGAGGAGUAAAUUAUUACGUGUCAUAAAGGGAUUUAUUUUACUUUUCGAGAGCCAGUCUGGGGGGUUAAUUUGAUCAUUUCCCCUGUGCAGAAUUACAGAGACUUUGUUUUUACACUCUCAACUUCGCUGCUCCUGUUGGUAAUGACAAGCACUGAAGCUCCACCACGGUACCCCUGCAUGCAUCAAAGCCACGUAAGACCAGAAAAACACAGAAGACAUAUCACAAAGAAAACCUUUUAACAGAGGCUGGGUGCUGUAAUAAGAGCCAUAAGAUCUCCAAUUGACCUUCCUCACUGAAAAUCGAGUCAGAAGAAGCACUGAGUGGUGGUGGUCUUGGAUCCUCAGUUGUGCCCUUUGUGCAACAGUGAUGAAGAGAAAAUCUUUGCAUGGGAUUGUGGUAAAACCAUCCAGAUAAGCAGGGGAACCUUCUGGCAUGUAAGCAAACAAAACCAAAUCACAAUAAAUAGCCUCAGACAAUUUUGGGCUUCUAAGUGAAAUUUGUAUUUUGCGUACAAGUCAAUUCCUGCCCUUUUAUUGUUGAAACAAAGGAAGAAUAAAAUAAAAAUAUUUACAUUAACAACAUGCAAUGGCGUCACUGAGCCAGCAUCCCUAUCAUCCCCCUCAUGUUUGCACAGGCCUAUUUUCUUCCAGGACCAGCUUUCCAGUAACAUCAGGCCCGAAGGGCUCCAUGCCACGCACCCAAUUGCCUUCCUCUGGGCACAUUACCAAACAGCAGCACCACAUAGUAUGUUUUGUACAAAUACAAGAGAAAAUCAGAAUAAAACACAUUUAGCAGCAACACAGGAAUAGGCAUCUCCAAAGCUCAUAUAUGUAAGGGAUUAAUGAGGUGUUUCCAAAACCCUACAUCUUUCAUGCUCUCAGGCGCUCUGUAUUCAGUAGGUGAUGAUGUUACACGUUUAACCAAAGGGCACAAAGACUCACCCACUUUCCUUGAGCUUACUGGUUGUACGAGGGCCUUAAUUCUGCUGGGAAACCAGAGGGCCUCGAUGCACUUCCAACCAAGGUGUGGUAACCAGCCCACAGCACGGGGUUGGAACCAGGGAUCUUUAAGGUCCCUUCCAACCCCACGUGAUCUGUUUCCCUGACAGCCCCCUUUCUCCCUUCCUGCGGCACCCCUGUGAUCACAGACCCCGCAGGUCAGCAGAACGAGGUGCAGUUGGUGUAUGGGGUCACUAACCUGAAAGAAGCGGUGACUGCCUGCCCUUCUGCUAUACGCUGCUAUGUACUCAGCAUCCUGGGUGAUGAGAAGCAGGAGUUUCCACAGUUCCACAGUUUAUGCUUACUCUUUUACCACACAAAAGGAGUCAUUUUGUUCUAAAGGUAGUUUAAAAGUCAGAUUUGCAAGCGUCACUCAAAAACACUUCGAACCUCCACGCUCCAGGCUGCUGUUUAGCUUUUCAGCCCUUUUUGCUGGGGAACAGGACCAGAUCAGUUUUCCCAUGAGGUAGAACAUCUGGACAAACAUCUCUCGGUAUCAGUACCACCGCGGCAGCUGAUGCACGGACCGGCGGCCCCAGGCUGGGCCGCCUCACCGGGCACACGGAACGGGACCGGGCGGGAACCUCCCGCCUCUCCCUCAGAGCCCGCCGCGCAUGCGCACUGCUAUCCCC